rnacentral:rRNA from 1 species
ACUUAGAUUCGCAGCAGAUAGCUCAGUAACACGUGGCCNAACUACCCUGUAGAUCGGAAUAACCUCGGGAAACUGAGGCUAAUGCCGAAUACGGCUCCUCCUCUGGAGUGAGAGGAGCUACAAACGCUACGGCGCUACAGGAUGUGGCUGCGGCCGAUUAGGUAGACGGUGGGGUAACGGCCCACCGUGCCGAUAAUCGGUACGGGUUGUGAGAGCAAGAGCCCGGAGACGGAAUCUGAGACNAGAUUCCGGGCCCUACGGGGCGCAGCAGGCGCGAAAACUUUACACUGCACGCGAGUGCGAUAAGGGGAUCCGAGUGCGAGGGCAUAGAGCCCUCGCUUUUCUACACCGU